GUUAUGGUAGUUUAAUAAGAACAAUGGUCUUGUAAGCCAAAAAUGAGAUAGUUUCUCCCAAAACU
rnacentral:tRNA from 1 species